UACUGAAUUUUCACCUGACCCGAUCCGUAGAGAUUUUUGAAUUGAUUUGGGUCCUGAGAUAAGAGAUCCGAUCUAACCUGAAUCUAAUACAAGACCAGAAGACUCACCUGAACGGCUGAAUCCGAACACAUCCUUUAUCUCUUUUUUUUUCUAUGUUACAUAAAUGUUAAUUUUAAUCAAAACUGCUUUAAUAUCUGUUGC
rnacentral:lncRNA from 1 species